CCUACGGGAGGCAGCAGUGAGGAAUAUUGGUCAAUGGACGAGAGUCUGAACCAGCCAAGUAGCGUGAAGGAUGACUGCCCUAUGGGUUGUAAACUUCUUUUAUAUGGGAAUAAAAUGUUCCACGUGUGGGAUUUUGUAUGUACCAUAUGAAUAAGGAUCGGCUAACUACGUGCCAGCAGCCGCGGUAAUACGGAGGAUCCGAGCGUUAUCCGGAUUUAUUGGGUUUGAAGGGAGCGUAGGUGGAUUUUUAAGUCAGUUGUGAAAGUUUGCGGCGAAACCGUAAAAUUGCAGUUGAAACUGGAAGUCUUGAGUACAGUAGAGGUGGGCGGAAUUCGUGGUGUAGCGGUGAAAUGCUUAGAUAUCACGAAGAACUCCGAUUGCGAAGGCAGCUCACUGGACUGCAACUGACACUGAGGCUCGAAAGUGUGGGUAUCAAACAGGAUUAGAUACCCGAGUAGUC
rnacentral:rRNA from 1 species